AUGGAAGUGACUCCUCCUCGGAUGAACGAUGGGAACUUGUUAAAGUUGAUCUUAUCUGCUUGUGCCUCAGGGGACGUAGAGGGGGAUUUGUGCAGAAACAUUUCCUUUAAGUUAAAGACACGAACUGAGAGGCGAAGCAAGAAGGAUGUCUUCCAUCUUCAGGAGAGCAACACUGACCAGGACGCUCCUCAUGAAAACUGCUCAGCAAAACCAAAGGGAAACCAUCUACAGCAAACCGCCGAAGGAAAAGAUCAGCCCAGCGCAGUCGGCCUUUGCCCUGUGUGUGUUUGGGACGGCCCUGUUGGUGCCGGCUGGAUGGAUUCUGCAUCACGUCCCAGAAUACCGGCAGAGAUCGACUCCCUGACAUCCGGAGGAAACCAAAUAAAAAUCUAAUUAUUCUGAUUUAAACAGACUUUCUGUUUAAUCUGUGUUUCAAAUGUGUCUCAUUUUAAGUUACUGUUUCUCAGGACUUUUGUUUGUGAAAAGUGGUUAAAAAAAUAAACUUUACUGACACAGAUUCA